CCUCGAGAAAACGCAGCCGGACCUGGCUUGGUUCCAGGAACAAUUCUUCAGAUUCUAGAUCUGGGUAUUUUUCAUGAUUUUGUCUCUUUUCUACUGAAUACCAUAAGGAAAAUGAGGGGAGGAAGAAAGAAGAGCAAAAGGAAGGCAAUAAGAGAAAUAAAAUAUAUUUAUAUAAGGGGUAAAGCAAAAGAUUAAGAGGACAAAAUAUAAAGGAGGAAGACUGGGAGGGAGAGAGCUGUCUCAGUGAAAUUUUUUCUAACAGAAAGGUCAAAUAAGACUUUUUCUUUCUCUUGUAAAAGAACAUGCCAGUGUUCCCCUCCUCAGCUCUUCUUGAUUAACUCCUUAACCAAGCAGUCAAUUUUUGAUAAAUUAAACUGUAUAGCCAUUUUAAACAUCAUUAACUUUGUUCAAGAGAAUUUGUUUUCAGUUAAUUUUAUAAUAUCAUGGAGAAUGAGAUCUGGACAUCACUAAUAAGGUCUCCAUGUCGCCUAGGCUGGAAUGCAGUGGCAUGAUCAUAGCUUAUACCUUAUUGCACCCUCGAACUCCUGCACUCAAGUGAUCCUCCCUCCUCAGCCUCUCAAGUAACUGGGACUA
rnacentral:lncRNA from 1 species